rnacentral:lncRNA from 1 species
UCCAUUUUGAAUAUUCCACUUUGGCUGGUUUUACUUACGGAAAUUUCAGUUAGAGGAAUUUUUCUAAAAUGACAGAUUUAGAAGAGUCUUAAGAUUUCUGUAAAAUUUAUUAAGUCAUUUUAGAGCAAGUAAAUAGCAUAAAUAUUCAGGUAAUCAUUAGAGCUAGAAGAGACAGUAAUAUGUUUUUUAAUUUAAAACAUUGAAUAUGCAUUUAGUAUAAAAACAGCUUAAUUUAUGUGCAAGAUUUAUAUUUCUGUAUUUAAAUGAUACUUAAAGUCUACUGACUUUCCCAUGAAUCAGAACAUUUUAAGAAGUAAUAGGAAUACUUGGAAUUCUGUACAUUUAAAGAUUAUUAGAUGGAAAACUUCCAGAUAGUUUUAAGCUACUGGGAUAUAAAUAAGUACUUUAGGAAAUAAUGGUGAACCCUCUCCCCCCACCCCACCCCCCAC